UGAGCGGGCCGGGUGAUCGCCGGCCGAAGCCAGAGCCUCGACGCACCGGUCGGACUGCGGCCAUGGGAAACAGGUUUUCCCGUGCUGCCUUACGUUGCAGAUCCUGUGCCAAAGUGCUCAUGGUUUCGGCGGGAGGAAAGUCCGGGCUCCGCAGGGUGCGAUGGUGGGUAACGCCCACCAGCCGUGAGGCUAGGGAAAGUGCCACAGAGAAUAGACCGCCAGCCGGUUCGCCGGCCGGUAAGGGUGAAACGGUGAGGUAAGAGCUCACCAGCAGGCCGGGUGACCGGCUUGGCUUGGUAAACCCCAUCGGGAGCAAGGCCGAACAGGAGAGCGUCCUGCCUACGGGCAGGCUCUGGGCGACCCGCCCAGGUUGCUCUCCGGGUGGGCUGCUGGAGGUGGCGGGCAACCGCCAUCCUAGAGAAAUGAUUGCCGCACCUCUGACCUUCUGGCAGGGGUGGACAGAACCCGGCUUACAGGCCCGCUCAGAUU
rnacentral:RNase_P_RNA from 1 species